rnacentral:rRNA from 1 species
AGAACCUGAAACUGUAUGCUUACAAUUAGCUGGAGCCCGUUAAGGGGUGACAGCGUGCCUAUUGCAGAAUGAACCGGCGAGUUAUGAUAUGUAGCGAGGUUAAGUUUGGAGGAACAGAGCCGCAGGGAAACCGAGUGUUAAGAGCGCGAACUAGUUACAUGUUGUAGACCCGAAACCAGGUGAUCUAGCCAUGAGCAGGUUGAAGUCUAUGUAAGAGUAGAUGGAGGACCGAACGAAUGAAUGUUAAAAAAUUCUUCGAUGACUUGUGGCUAGGGGUGAAAAGCCAAACGAACCUGGAGAUAGCUGGUUCUCCCCGAAAUAGCUUUAGGGCUAGCGUUAGCAGAAGAAAUUUAUGAAGGUAGAGCACUGAAUGUGUGAGGGCCACACCUCGUGGUACUGAUCCCAAAUAAACUCCGAAUGUCAUAAAUGGAUAGCUAGCAGUCAGACACUGGGUGAUAAGGUCCAGAGUCGAGAGGGAAACAGCCCAGACCGCCAGAUAAGGUCCCGAAAUAGAUGCUAAGUGGCAAAGGAAGUGGGGGCGCACAAACAGCUAGGAGGUUGGCUUAGAAGCAGCCACCCUUUAAAGAGUGCGUAAUAGCUCACUAGUCGAGUGCACCUGCGCCGAAAAUGUACCGGGGCUAAGCAUCAUACCGAAGCUGCGGAUUUAGGAGUUAACUCUUAAGUGGUAGGGGAGCGUUCUAGAGUGAAGAAGUAUGACCGUAAGGACAUAUGGAGCUACUAGAAGUGAUAAUGCCGGUGUAAGUAACGAAAAGAGAGGUGAGAAUCCUCUCCGUCGAAAACCCAAGGAUUCUAGGGGAAGGUUCGUCCGCCCUAGGUAAGUCGGGCCCUAAGGUGAGUCCGGAAGGAGUAGCCGAUGGAUAUCAGGUAGAAAAUCCUGAACUAGUGUAUAGACAGAAGGAGUGACAGAGGAGGCUAGGCUUCGCCUUUAAAUGUCUUAAGGUCGAGAUAGCGAUGCAGGCGUGUAGGCAAAUCCGCAUGCCGAUAGGAGUAGCUAUGAUAGGUAAAGGAGUACGAUGUCAGACUCUCAAGAAAAGCUUCUAUGGUUAAUCUAUGCACUACCCGUACCGUAAACCGACACAGGUAGGAGGGUAGAAUAUAUUAAGACGCGCGAGAAAACUCUUGUUAAGGAACUCGGCAAAAUGACCCCGUAACUUCGGGAUAAGGGGGGCUCUUAAUGGAAAAGGAGAGCCGCAGAGAAAAGGCCCAAGCGACUGUUUAUCAAAAACACAGGUCUCUGCAAAAUCGAAAGAUGAAGUAUAGAGGCUGACGCCUGCCCGGUGCUGGAAGGUUAAGAGGAGAUGUUAGGCAACGAAGCAUUGAAUUGAAGCCCCAGUAAACGGCGGCCGUAACUAUAACGGUCCUAAGGUAGCGAAAUUCCUUGUCGGGUAAGUUCCGACCCGCACGAAAGG